GAUGAACGCUGGCGGCGUGCCUAAUACAUGCAAGUCGAGCGAACGGACGAGAAGCUUGCUGCUCUGAUGUUAGCGGCGGACGGGUGAGUAACACGUGGAUAACCUACCUAUAAGACUGGGAUAACUUCGGGAAACCGGAGCUUAUACCGGAUAAUAUUUUGAACCGCAUGGUUCAAAAGUGAAAGACGGUCUUUCUGUCACUUCUAGAUGGAUCCGCGCUGCAUUAGCUAGUUGGUAAGGUAACGGCUUACCAAGGCAACGAUGCAUAGCCGACCUGAGAGGGUGAUCGGCCACACUGGAACUGAGACACGGUCCAGACUCCUACGGGAGGCAGCAGUAGGGAAUCUUCCGCAAUGGGCGAAAGCCUGACGGAGCAACGCCGCGUGAGUGAUGAAGGUCUUCGGAUCGUAAAACUCUGUUAUUAGGGAAGAACAGAUGUGUAAGUAACUGUGCACAUCUUGACGGUACCUAAUCAGAAAGCCACGGCUAACUACGUG
rnacentral:rRNA from 1 species